CUAAGGGGUGCUUGCCUGUGUAGGCUUGCUGAGAUUAUACCCAUAAACCUGAUACGGGUAAUGCCGUCGUAGGGACAUU
rnacentral:ncRNA from 1 species